UACGUAGGGUGCAAGCGUUAAUCGGAAUUACUGGGCGUAAAGCGUGCGCAGGCGGUUUUGUAAGUCUGACGUGAAAUCCCCGGGCUCAACCUGGGAAUUGCGUUGGAGACUGCAAGGCUAGAAUCUGGCAGAGGGGGGUAGAAUUCCACGUGUAGCAGUGAAAUGCGUAGAGAUGUGGAGGAACACCGAUGGCGAAGGCAGCCCCCAGGGUCAAGAUUGACGCUCAUGCACGAAAGCGUGGGGAGCAAACAGG
rnacentral:rRNA from 1 species